UACGUAGGCUGCGAGCGUUGUUCGGAGUUACUGGGCGUAAAGGGUGUGUAGGCGGCUGGUUAAGUUUGGUGUGAAAUCUCCCGGCUCAACUGGGAGGGUGCGCCGAAUACUGAAUGACUUGGAGUGCGGGAGAGGAGAGUGGAAUUCCUGGUGUAGCGGUGAAAUGCGUAGAUAUCAGGAGGAACACCGGUGGUGUAGACGGCUCUCUGGACCGUAACUGACGCUGAGACACGAAAGCGUGGGUAGCAAACAGG
rnacentral:rRNA from 1 species